rnacentral:rRNA from 1 species
UUGGAGGGCAAGUCUGGUGCCAGCAGCCGCGGUAAUUCCAGCUCCAAUAGCGUAUAUUAAAGUUGUUGCAGUUAAAAAGCUCGUAGUUGAAUUUCGGGAUUGACGUGACGGUCAUGCCUUAAGGGGUAUGAACUGUUACUGUUGAUUUCUCACCUUCUGGAGAAACUUGAUGUCCUUUAUUGGGUGUCUUGCGGAUCCAGGACCUUUACCUUGAAAAAAUUAGAGUGUUUAAAGCAGGCAUUUUUGCUCGAAUACAUUAGCAUGGAAUAAUAGAAUAGGACGGCAUGGUUCUAUUUUGUUGGUUUCUAGGAUCACCGUAAUGAUUAAUAGGGAUAGUUGGGGGCAUUAGUAUUCAAUUGUCAGAGGUGAAAUUCUUGGAUUUAUUGAAGACUAACUACUGCGAAAGCAUUUGCCAAGGAUGUUUUCAUUAAUCAAGAACGAAAGUUAGGGGAUCGAAGACGAUCAGAUACCGUCGUAGUCUUAACCAUAAACUAUGCCGACUAGGAAUCAGACGAUGUUAAUUUUUAAUGUACUCGUUC